rnacentral:ribozyme from 1 species
AGAAAAAAAACACAAAGAGCACCCGUAGUUUUGUUGAAAAAGAACAAUGCUAGCUUGCUUUUUUCUCUCUCUUUUUUUUCUCUUUUGUUUCUGCUGAUUCU